rnacentral:rRNA from 1 species
CCUUGACAUACUAAGAACUUUCCAGAGAUGGAUUGGUGCCUUCGGGAACUUAGAUACAGGUGCUGCAUGGCUGUCGUCAGCUCGUGUCGUGAGAUGUUGGGUUAAGUCCCGNAACGAGCGCAACCCUUUUCCUUAUUUGCCAGCGGGUAAUGCCGGGAACUUUAAGGAUACUGCCAGUGACAAACUGGAGGAAGGCGGGGACGACGUCAAGUCAUCAUGGCCCUUACGGCCAGGGCUGCACACGUGCUACAAUGGUCGGUACAAAGGGUUGCUACCUCGCGAGAGGAUGCUAAUCUCAAAAAGCCGAUCGUAGUCCGGAUCGCAGUCUGCAACUCGACUGCGUGAAGUCGGAAUCGCUAGUAAUCGCGGAUCAGAAUGCCGCGGUGAAUACGUUCCCGGGCCUUGUACACACCGCCCGUCACACCAUGGGAGUUUGUUGCACCAGAAGUAGGUAGUCUAACCGCAAGGAGGACGCUUACCACGGUGUGGCCGAUGACUGGGGUGAAGUCGUAACAAGGUAGGCGUAGAUGA